GUCAAUCAGCAGAAACACUGCCAGCUGGGACUGAAAAGGAUGAAGUGGGAAAGGGCUGUUGGACUUCUAAAAUUCUACAGGCAGGAACCAGGCUGAUAGAGCUACUGAGCGAUUGACGUGUUCCACCCUUCAAGAAAAAGGAAGAGUGUGCUGGGCCCAGAAGAUGAAGCCUUGAACCACAGAGGAUUCUUCUCAGGCCACCCAGUUUGUGGUAUUUUGCUACAGCAGCCCCAGAAGACCAUACACCUCCAUCUACUCUUAUGUACAGUUUGCAGACAGGCCAGGAAACGAACCGCCCUCUAAAGCAUCACUUCCAUUGGAAAACGCAGCAGAAGGUCCAAACAACUCCAUCCUCCAGAGAUGACCUGUGGAAACCAUGACCUGCCAUCUCCACCUCAUUCGCUCCACUGCCCCCACUUCUGCCUUAAAGGGAGGGGACCGAGCAGCGCCGUCAGCGCAGCCCGCGCAGCCCUGAGCAGCGGGGAGUC